rnacentral:rRNA from 1 species
GCCUGGGGAGUACGGUCGCAAGAUUAAAACUCAAAGGAAUAGACGGGGACCCGCACAAGCGGUGGAGCAUGUGGUUUAAUUCGAAGAUACGCGAAGAACCUUACCUGGGCUUGAUAUCCUAAGAACCUUAUAGAGAUAUGAGGGUGCUAGCUUGCUAGAACUUAGAGACAGGUGCUGCACGGCUGUCGUCAGCUCGUGUCGUGAGAUGUUGGGUUAAGUCCCGCAACGAGCGCAACCCACGUAUUUAGUUGCUAACGGUUCGGCCGAGCACUCUAAAUAGACUGCCUUCGUAAGGAGGAGGAAGGUGUGGACGACGUCAAGUCAUCAUGGCCCUUAUGCCCAGGGCGACACACGUGCUACAAUGGCAUAUACAAUGAGACGCAAUACCGCGAGGUGGAGCAAAUCUAUAAAAUAUGUCCCAGUUCGGAUUGUUCUCUGCAACUCGAGAGCAUGAAGCCGGAAUCGCUAGUAAUCGUAGAUCAGCCAUGCUACGGUGAAUACGUUCCCGGGUCUUGUACUCACCGCCCGUCACACCAUGGGAGUUGAUUUCACUCGAAGCCGGAAUACUAAACUAGUUACCGUCCACAGUGGAAUCAGCGACUGGGGUGAAGUCGUAACAAGGUAACCGUAGGAGAACCUGCGGUUGGAUCACCUCCUUUCUA